AUUGAACGCUGGCGGCAGGCCUAACACAUGCAAGUCGAACGGUAGCACAGAGAGCUUGCUCUCUGGUGACGAGUGGCGGACGGGUGAGUAACGUCUGGGAAACUGCCCGAUGGAGGGGGAUAACUACUGGAAACGGUAGCUAAUACCGCAUAACGUCGCAAGACCAAAGUGGGGGACCUUCGGGCCUCACACCAUCGGAUGUGCCCAGAUGGGAUUAGCUAGUAGGUGGGGUAAUGGCUCACCUAGGCGACGAUCCCUAGUCGGUCUGAGAGGAUGACCAGCCACACUGGAACUGAGACACGGUCUAGACUCCUACGGGAGGCAGCAGUGGGGAAUAUUGCACAAUGGGCGCAAGCCUGAUGCAGCCAUGCCGCGUGUAUGAAGAAGGCCUUCGGGUUGUAAAGUACUUUCAGCGGGGAGGAAGGCGGUGAAGUUAAUAGCUUCACCGAUUGACGUUACCCGCAGAAGAAGCACCGGCUAACUCCGUGCCAGCCGCCGCCGUAAAAC
rnacentral:rRNA from 1 species